rnacentral:lncRNA from 1 species
UGUUUAAAAUUUGUAAAGUGAGCAUAUAUGUAUUUUUCAAGGGGGGAGGGAAAGGAUUAGUUGUUAGAGAAGGCAUUACAUAAUUUUGACACUGUCUGAAGAUGAAAGGAAAUUAUUUUUAAAAACUUAAAAUAUAGAAACUUGUUAUUCAAAUGAGCAGGUAUAUUCUAAUUGUAAUUAAUUAAACCAUGUGACUUAAAAAAUCCUGAAAGCAGAUGACAUUAUCUUAUUGAAAAUGUAAGUCUUUAUCUUUUUAUUAACUCAUUUUCUGUUAAGUUUUUGGCAUUUUAAAAAUUGUACUUUGGCACAAGGAAAUCCAGAUUUUCUUUGUUGACUGUAGCAUUAAGAAUGAGACAUAUGAAGCCAAUUUGAAUAAAGAUUUGUUGAAAGCUUAAUUCCUUCUUUGCAAAAAUAGCAACAAUAUCAUGAAAAUAAUGUGCAAACAGAAACAGAAUCCCUGAGGCUUCUACUAAGAAAAACACAGAGAACCAGUAUUUUUACCAGCAAUUCAGGUCACAAGAAAGUUCUGUAUGUUAUAGUUCAGGGACAUUUGCAUAAAUCUCUCAUCUCAGACUAUUUGCACUUUGUAGUGGUAAAAAAUUACUUAUCCUAAGACCUCUUUUUGUACAGAAAAACAUUUUUUUCAAUUCUUUUCCAUUGUUUUCAAUUUAAAUAUGGUGCCUGUUUAAACAGUAACUUUCUGCAUAUGAAACAAGAGAUUUUGUUAAAACUCUGGUACUACUACAAUAUUUCUUAGAGACAUAGAAAAUGAUCAUCAUGAUGAUGAUGUAAUACUAUGGAUGAAACUGAGGUCUUCCAUGUGCCAAAAACUCUUUUAAGGACUUCACAUGCAUUAAUUUAUUGAAUCUUUAUAAAAUCCAUAUGAGAGAGGAGCUAUUAUUACCUGAGCUUUACUGAGAGGAAAAUUGGGAUGUAUAGGGAAAAUGAACUUGCUCAAGGUCACAUAGCUAGGAAGUGGCAGGGCCCAAACCUAAACUCCUAACUGAGUCUCUUACGAUAAAGAGAAAGUGGUGUAAUGACCUACCUACCUGAAUAUUGUGAAACUAUAGAACUGCUUUUAAUAGAAAAGGGAGUUUUUCAUUUGAAAUUUUAAAAUAAGAGAAAUAGAAAUAAAUGAAGUAUAAGUAAAUUUAUACUCAAGUGUUUUUCUUUGUCCAGGGCAUGCUGUAGUUAAUAUACUAUUUGAAAUGUGUCAAAAACAUAUGCACACACAUAUAUUAAAAAAAAAACAUUAUGCGACUAGGGCUCAAAAAAUAGAUGGCUCUUCAAUUUGUUAGGUAUGUUUGGAUUUACUUACAUACAACAAGAAAAAUAGCAAGGCAAAACAGUAUUUUCUAAGUCUCAUAGAGAUGUGCUAUCUGAUAAAGACGAUGCCAGGAAAGGUUUAGAGGUUUUGAAGAAAGUGCAGGAUUUGACCUUACGUUGGACCACUUAGAGGAGGGAACAUUCAAGGGGAAGAGAGUAAGUCCAUAAACAGUGGCAUGACGACGUUUUGGUUGUUGGGGUCUGCAAGGAAUUGUAAACAUCAGACAAAUAUGGCUGCUUUGGAGAGUUGUCAGAGUCAGCUUGUGCAGUAGCUUAGUGAAGGCAUUAAGUGCCUUGCACAGAGAGCUGGUGUGUGUCCUAGGUAUAGAGCAAAAUUUAGUUGAUACCUUUGUAUCUAUCUACCACAGCACAGUAAAUCAUAAGAUGUCAUCAAGCCCUAACCAGUUAUCUUGCUUCUCUCUUAAACUUGGAAUCUCCGUUUUUCUUUAUCCUGUCAAGGUCAUCCUGUUUCAAAGUUGGUGGAUACUUUCUUCAUGAUGUCUCUCAGAUCUUCCUUUCUAAUUACCUUAUUUUUCUAGUAUGGUUCUCCAUGAUCUCACAACCCUGUAAAUGGUACAGACCUCUUAUUGUGUCAACUUCUAUUCUUUAGGGCUUUUAAAGUGAGUUAGUUUAAAUGAACAAGGAGAGUUUUUGGCAUAUGUAGGUAACCUGGUUAAAAAAAGGAGUAAACCUCAUCUGGGAGACAAGUGAAUCCAAGGACUGGCAAGCUGUCAGAUCUCUCUUCCCAUCUCUUGAUUCCUGUCUAUGUUAGCUUCAUUCUUAUCUUCUGCAUACAAGCUAACUUUGUGUGGUAAGGAGCAUGGUCUCAGCCUACUUCAUAUUCAUAUUUCUGCAGUGUAGUUAUCUAAGAGGAAAUAAACUCUUUCUUGUCAGUUGUGUUCAGAAAGUAACUUAAGUGCUACAAUUGGUUCUGCUUUGAUUAAGAGAUUGUCGCCAGAGAAAUCACUAUAGUCAAGGAGAUAGGGUACUGGAACUGGGGCUUCCAUCAGAACCACUUAGUGGGUGUAGAGUAGUAGAAAAUUAUCCGGCCUAGAGAAAUAUGUUUCUGAGAAGAUAAAAAAAUAAAUGCCCACUGCCCUCUCUAAUCUCUGAGUAACAGUCUUUAAAUAUAUUUUCAGCAUAAUACUUUCACAUUCAAAUUGAACUAUCUUUUCUAGCAUUAAACUUUUUUUCCAAUGGUUGUUAUACGAUGACUUCUCUCAUCAUUGUCAAUAUGUUGAUCCCAUUUGUUGUGGGUUUAAAACUAGGCUCUCCAAUUUACUAGUUAGGUGAUCUUAAGCAAUUUAUCGUCUCUAACCUUGAAUUUUCAUCCCUAAAGUCGGGAUACUAAUGUGCUAACUUUAUGAGUUAAUUGUGAGGAGUAAAUCAGCUCACAAAGUACAUAGAAGGCACUUAACAUUUCUUAUUCCUUGGUAUGAAUAGAGUAUGUGUAGGAUGAAAGUUGCAUGCUGUGUUAAAAAAAGCAGAAGACUAGGUGACACAACCUGUUAUUGUCCUUCCCAAAGAGCAUGGAUAAGGCUAGGGAAAAAAAAAAAAAAGACAAGCUCCUUAAUAAAAUUUCUGGAAAACAUUCAUUUCAUUCUAUCUUCAAAAUUCUGGGGAUAUAUUUCCUCAGAAAGCUCCAUACAUAAUGGGCUUUAGGCACUGAAAACAUAUCAGGGCCUUUGCCCAACAAUGGAAAAUUCACUACUUCAACCAUUUUCUUUAGUAUUCUUUAGCAACUCCUUGGUUUAAUCACUGGAUAAUGUUGAAAGAUUUGGUGAAAAACACUUGUUUGAAGGGUCUGUUUACUUGAAGUGAAACUAAGGGCCAUGAAGGUGAUCCAGCUAGCUUUCUCUUGUGUAGCCAAAGACAAUUCUAGAUCUUCCUGCUGUGUCUGAUUUUUGAUCAAAGAUUGGGAUUGGGGAGCAGUGAGUUCAGCGGCACUGAGUUUGGCACCGUAUGUUAGGAAUGGCGGGGGUCAUAAAAAGAGAAAAUGGGGAUGAGGACAUGGGAAGUUCUCAAUUCUUGAAGUGGAAUUAAAGAAAUGUGAAAUAACAUUACGUGAGAAAAUACUCAGGAAAUACCAAUAUAACAUACAAAUUCCCAUUACGCUGUUUCUGGGUAGGUGCUGAGUCAGAAUUUCUAGGAUAGAAGGAAUAUUGACGGAGGCAAGCAGUUUUGGUGAAAUGAUGGCCAACACGAAUCUUGUUCAGACUCUUUGUCCUCUUCUAUUUUCUCUGUGGAAAUUCUCCCCAAUGCCCGCCCCUCUCUCUACUCUCCCCUGUAAGCCUUGCCUCCCAGGGUUUGCCCCCUUACAUUUUACUGUCAGAUAUUUCAGAUAUUUUUAUAUUUUCAUGUAGUGAUAGGUGUAAUUCUAAGAUGGUCCCCAAAUUCCUGCCCCCUGGCAUGCCCACCAUGUAUAAUUUCAUACUCUUGACUGGGGGUGGCACCAUUAAUAUGAUUAAUGAUGCUAAUGGCAUAGCAAAGUUUGUAUAGUUACUCAAGUGAUUACAUUAAGUUAUAUAAGACUCCUUCUUAGCAUCCUGGAGAAAGAUUCUCCUGUUGGCUUUAAAGAAUAAGCUUCCAUGUUGUGAGAGGGGCAUGUGACCAGGACUCAAAGGCAGCUUUUAGGAGUUAAAAGCCACUCCCAUCCCCACAGCCAACAAGAAAUGGGGAUCUCGGUUCCUCCCUCAAAAGGAACUGAAUCCUGCCAACAACCUGAAUGAGCCAGAAAAAAUAUCCUAAUCUCCAGAUGAGAAUGCACCCCAUACAGCACCUUAAUUUCAGCCUAAGGACCCCUGAACAGAGAAUCAGCUAUACUCUACCCAAGCCCUUGACACACAAAGACCAUGAGAUAAAACAUUUCUAUUUUUUUAAGUAAAGUUUGCAGUAAUUUGCUAUGCAGCUUUAGAAAACUUUAAAUUCUAAAGAAUUUUUAAAAAAUCUAAUUUAAAUUAGAAUUAUGCCUUAUCCUUAAUUAAUUUCUUCAUACCUUUCAGUGCACAUACUUUAGUACUUUGUACAAAGUAACCAUACAAUUAAAAUUUGCUGAUGGAUUAAUUUGUUGAUUAGGAUAAUUAUCCUAAAAUUUUAUUUCCAAUGUCUAUUUUCCCCCCACCAGAAAAGUCCUUAAAACUUUUUCUAAGUAUUUAGUAAAUAUCAUCUUUUUUUUUCCCCUGGAAAAUUCCUCCACUUAUUAACCUGUCAACAUAUUCGUGCUGACCCAAACCAAAUAAGUAAGCAGUGUAGGUCAAAAGAUACUUUGGAAAGGAAGAUCAUGCUAUUUGGGGACAGUUUCAGUGGGUAGUUAUAAUCAGUCAAGUAUUAAAUUAUGAAAAAAUGUCAUAUGAAGUUUGGUAUGAACACAUUAGAACUUUAAAUUUUUUCCUGAUGUUUCCCAAUUAUGUUAAUAUACAUUGAGAGUAAUAAAAAUGAUAAUAACAAUAGCUAACUUUUAUUAAUCACCUCAUAUGUUCCUGGCAAUUAAGAGUUUAAUCUGUUAAUAUAUUUAAGCUCUAAAAAUAUUUGUAACCUCAGUUACUAUUACUGUCUUCAUCUUAUUGAUAAGGAAACCAAGGCAAAAAGGUUAAAUAAUUUGUCCAGGGUCAAAUAGAUAGCAACAACAGUAAUAAUAAACUUUUGCAGAGCACUUCAAUGGUGCUUUACUUAUUACGUUGGCGCAAAAGUAAUUGCAGUUUUUGCCACUACUUUAAAUGGCAAUAUAUUAACUCAUUUAAUUUCUACGAUUAUUGUGUGAAUUAAGUACUAUUAUUCCUUCAUUUUAGAGAUAAGAAAACAGAGGCUUGCAAAUCAUUUUAGAGCACUUUUCUUCUCUAAAUGCUUCACUGUUAUAAGCUAAUAACAGUAAACUUAUUUUAAAAAUCAAUUUUUUUUCAAAAUUCCAAAAUCAGUUCAAUACUGCCAGAUUAAUCUUCCUUGCAUACUAGCAGAGUCUUCUACAGGAAACAUUCAAUGACUGCCUGUUGCUAACUUACGAAAUUCCAACAACUUAUGAUGGCCAUUUAGGGUCUUCCAUGCUCUCACUCCAAUGUGUAUUUCUAGUUAAAUUUUCUACUAUGCCUCAACAUGCACCCUGGGUUCAGUCAAAUCAGCAUAAGUAAUGUUCAUUACACCCAGGCUUUCAUGGCUCUGUGGUUUUCUGAUUUAAUUUUGGCCACCUGGAAGGCCCUCCUCCACCUCCACUUGUCAAAAUAGCAUUUCCUUCUAUUUCAUAUCUCAACUUCUCCAGCAACAGUUUAAUUCUAUAACCAGACAUGUUGCUUUCCUUUACUUUGCACAUAAAGGAAUUAUUUAACAUAUUACAAUUAUAUUUAUAUUACAGACUUUUCUUUCUUCCAUAUCUUCCCUAAUGACUAUAUAUUUCUUGAACGGGAAAAACAAUGCUCAUAGGAAAAUAACGUAUCUAAUAUUAUUUGAGAGUUAUAUGAAUUCAUUCAGUAUAAAUUCUCUUCUAAGGGACUUUGAAUUUAUUUCUCUAAUUGUUUGAUAAAAGAAUUACACAGAGAUGUUGUUUUUUAGAUUCUUUCCUCAUAUCCUGGAAAGUUCAUGUCUCAAUUUCCCUUAGUUUUCCAUUUUUAAGGGCUAUGAUCUGAUCUACAUAAUAAUAUAAAAAAUGGAAAUAAGUAAAUUGAAGCUUUUUUAGUGGAAUAAGGAUAUAUUACAUUAUUGAGCAUUACUAAGUGCCAGACAACAAUCCUUGUCCUCAUGGAGCUUAGAUUCCAAUAGGAAAAAAUAAAAAAUAAACAUAUAUAUAUAGAAGUUCUAUGAUAGGUACUAUAAAAACAUAGAUCAAAGUUAAACAUUGGUUGUGGCAGAAGGUGAGAUAAGGCAUAUGUGGUCAUGGCAGGCCUCAUUGGAAAGGUGAUAAGUGAGUAGGAAGAGCUGCCCAAGAAAGUUUUUUCCUCCCUUGAGUGUGGAUUAUUGAGGGGAAGGAUGCUGCCUCUCUAUUGAUGAAGAGAAAAUCUUUUCUUACCUUUGGUUUUAUUGAGUGUAAUGACAAAUGAUUUGAAACUGUUUGACAUUCCUAGUCACUCAAAUAAAUGUAGAAUUUGAGUAACUGGAUCUGACAUACACUCUUUAAAGUGUUAAGUCAGAAGCAUGAUGCUAUGGGCUGAAUUAUGUCUACCCCAAAUUUAUAUAUAUGUAUAUGUAUGUGUGUACGUGUGUGUAUAUAAAAUAUCUUAUCUUUCCUGCCGAUUUUUCUUCCCUGGUUGAACCCUAAAUGACAACUUACAAAAAACAAAUGAGACUUUUUUUCUAAGAGUGUACAAAUUACCAUUUGAUUAGAUAAUUCAAUCAUAUAUCAGUAAUCAAUUUAGAUCAAUUUCAAAAUAGUUAAUUUGUUAUGUAUACACUCUAAGAAUGAAAGAUUCUAUGAAUAUGUUAUACAUUUUCCCAAAAAGAAUGAAUUUCAAACCAAAAGAGUAGCAUAUGCCUUCCGGGAAAAUAAACUGUUUCUGAAGUCAAUAAUUUAUUCUUUGCUCAUAGCAAGCGUACAUCCUUCCCAACUUAAAAUAAUCAAAAAUUUCAAUCAAACUUACUUUCACCUUAGACCCUUUCCUCUUCUUCAUUGGUCUCUCAGAAUUAUAGCUUACACCCAUAGUUUCAAUUUUUUCACUUUUCAUUUACUCCUCAGUCAUUAACAUUUGGCUUCCAUUCUUAAAACUCUACCAAAAUAAUCCUUGAUGAUUGCUUUGCCAUUAAAUGACUGUAUUUAAUGAUCACUUUACGUGACCCCUCAGCAUCACUCAAUAAUAUUGUCCCCUUCUUCUUUCCGGGAAAUCUUUCUUUCCAUUUGCAUCAAUGACAUCACAAUCUGGUUUUCCUACUGUUUCCAGAUUACUCUUUUUCUGACCCUUUUUCUUUUUUUUUUCAUGUAAUACCAUUUUAAUAAGCCAUGUAUGUUUAUUAUUUAAUUACAUGUUUGUUAUGCACAAACUGCUCUUAUACAGUUCUGUUAGCCAGUAUAAUAACGUUUUUAACUUUGUCGAUAACAAACUUGUAUUUGUAAUGUAACAUAUGCUGUGCUCUAGUCUAAAAAUUGGUGCUUAAACUGUUCACUAAUUUAAUUAUGUAGGAUGCAAUAUGUUCCAAAAUCCAGUGCACUUAAUUGUAUUUAAAUUUGGUUUUCAUUUAAGAUCCUCACAUGCUAAGAAGUAGAGCAGCCUUGUAGAAUUGAUCCUUUCUCAUUUGAAGCCAAGUCUGAUCAUCUCUUGACACCCAGGUUGGGCUGAAUGCAGAGGAUGGGUCUUAGUUUUUUUUUUUUUUUUUUAUUCAAAGAGCAUUGCAUCUUUCCUAACUCAAGUAGUUUCUAUCCUCAUUUCAGACCUCCAGCUUGACUACUCAUUAACAGAUGAGUUCUGCAGAAACCACUUCUUGGUGGGACUGUUACUGAGGGAGGUGGGGACAGCCCUCCAGGAGUUCCAUCUGAUCGCCAUCAGUGUGCUCAAGAACCUGCUGAUAAAGCAUUCUUUUGAUGACAGAUAUGCUUCAAGGAGUCAUCAGGCAAGGAUAGCCACCCUCCACCUGCCUCUGUUUGGUCUGCUGAUUGAAAACGUCCCGCGGAUCAAUGUGAGGGAUGUGUCACCUUUCCCUGUGAACGUGGGCAUGAUUUAAAACCUGUGUUAAUGGUUUUUCUUUAGUCUGAGUUAUCUCGUGGAUUGGAUGGAGCGUAAAGGGAGGUGAAGGCUUCAGUAAGGUAACCUUGAUGUUGAGAAAGUAUUUGAAGGCACCUGACAACAAAACCCUCAGAAGACUCAGGAGAAGGGUCAUUAGCCACACUCUCUUACAGUCCUUCUCCUGUUUGGAAUUCCAGUUUCCUAUACAAAGGUGGCUGCGAUGGGCCAGGGCCAUGGCUGGAAGAGGUUUUGUGUGAACAUAUACUUUUAUUUAUCUUGAAUGAACACCUAGGAAUUUGGUUGCUGGGUCACAUGGUAAGAGUAUUUUUAACUUUAUCAAAAAGCAGCCUACUUAUUUUAUUAAUGACGUUAGCAUUUUGCAUUCUUACCAGUACUAUGUGAGAGUUCUAGCUGCUAUGUAGUAUCACUAGCACUUGAUACUUUCACUUUUAUAUUAUUUUGGCUAUUCUC